UUACAAGCUGUGGAAGCACAUUUCUUGUGUGACCGCGUACUUUUUGUAGAACGGGCCAACGAGUUACGUUAAGUAGCAAGGUUAAGCACUUAAGGUGUGGAGCCGUAGCGAAAGCGAGUUUUAACUGGGCGUUCAGUUACUUGACGUAGACCCGAAACCGGGCGACCUACCCAUGAGCAGGAUGAAGCGAAAGUAAAAUUUCGUGGAGGUCCGAACCCACGAGCG
rnacentral:rRNA from 1 species